UACGUAGGGUCCGAGCGUUGUCCGGAAUUAUUGGGCGUAAAGGGCUCGUAGGCGGUUCGUCACGUCGGGAGUGAAAACUCGGGGCUUAACCCUGAGCUUGCGGUCGAUACGGGCAUGACUGGAGUUCGGCAGGGGAGACUGGAAUUCCUGGUGUAGCGGUGAAAUGCGCAGAUAUCAGGAGGAACACCGGUGGCGAAGGCGGGUCUCUGGGCCGAUACUGACGCUGAGGAGCGAAAGCGUGGGGAGCAAACAGG
rnacentral:rRNA from 1 species